rnacentral:ncRNA from 1 species
UUGGUCAGCGUGGUUUUUAGCGGCUUGAUAAACAGCGCGUUAUUGUUCAUGACCACGUUACCGCUGGCGUGGGCCUGCUGACCAUCAAGCGGGAUAUCGAGAUUCAGGUGGCCCCGGGUGGUGCCUUUAAUUUCCAGCUGCUCCAGUGCUGCGCCGAGUGACGCUUUCAGCGGCGUCUGCUGGAAGUAAUCGGCGAUUUGUUUCCCUUCUCCGCUGAUGUCGCCAUCAAUAAUCAGCUUCUCUUUCAGGUAGUCCGGGAUAACGGCGCUAACCUUACGCGCCUCAACGUCGCCAAGGCGAGCGGUCGGGGCGUUCAUCCAUAAGCCGUCGUUCAGGAAGUUAAGAUUGAUAUCCAGAUUGCUGAGCGCCGGCCAUUUGGGCUGGAAGGCAUAGGUCGCCU